rnacentral:rRNA from 1 species
CCUACAGGAGGCAGCAGUGAGGAAUAUUGGUCAAUGGGCGCGAGCCUGAACCAGCCAAGUCGCGUGAGGGAAGACGGUCCUAUGGAUUGUAAACCUCUUUUGUCGGGGAGCAAAAGACGCCAUGCGUGGCGUUCCGAGAGUACCCGAAGAAAUAGCAUCGGCUAACUCAGUGCCAGCAGCCGCGGUACUACGGAGGAUGCGAGCUUUAUCCGGAUUUAUUGGGUUUAAAGGGUACGCAGUGGGAAGAUCAAGACAGCGGUAAAAUUGAGAGGCUCAACCUCUUCGAGCCGUUGAAACUGGUGUACUUGAGUGAGCGAGAAGUAUGCGGAAUGCGAGGUGUAGCGGUGAAAUGCAUAGAUAUCACGCAGAACUCCGAUUGCGAAGGCAGCAUACCGGCGCUCAACUGACGCUCAUGCACGAAAGUGUGGGUAUCGAACAGGAUUAGAUACCCUUGUAGUC